CCCGUGCAGCGAUUCCAGCGCUCACCCUUGACCCGCGGCGGAGACGGGGCAGAACUUCCGGGAGGCGGGGCCACGGAGAGGAAAAAGGGAAAGAAAAAAGGAAGUCGCUUCAACCCAGCCCACAGGACUAUGAGACCCCGCCGGGCGGAAGUGACGUAAGAGGGCUCGAGAAGCUUGAGCAAGCCCCGCCUCUCUAACAACGCUGGGCAAGCGCAGGACCAUCUCUUGGCUACUACCUCCAAGAGUAUACCCGGGCCUCGCUGAUACCCGACGGCGAGCCCUUGACUUUUGUGACUUGUUGACCUUUGCUACUGCGAUCUGUUUUUUCUGCUGGGAUAAAGUUGCUCAUUCUGUUGCUUGUCAUUGGGGUUACUAUCACUCGUUCAGACGGCCGAUUGGCUGAUGGUCCCGUCAAUCUCCAGGGAAAUUACUAGCCUCAGACAACUCAGAAAAUUGUUCGUUGGUGCCCCUUCGUGCUGAAAUGAAGAGUUCUGGAGAGAAUCUGAGGGAUUUGAGGAAUUUCAGAUCUUGGGGAUUUUUCCCCCGCACAGGGAACGGUAUUCUGCCCUGUCUACACAUUAGAAUCGCUUUAGGGAGUUUUGGUCCCUCUAGGGUAGGGCCUGGACAAAAGCUUUUUUAAAAAAGCGUUCCCUUCAUUUCCUCCUCCCAAACCCCACAUUUCCACCCGCUAGAUUCUAAUGCGUAAACAGGAUUGACAACUACUGCUCUUGUGCUUUUUUGGGAACAAGAAAUGGUCCAGGAAAAAGAUAAACGCCAAUUAGUCUCUGAUCUCAGUACUAGUCUAUUUUAAGCUAAUUAAGCAUUGAUUUUUUUUUUUAAGUUUAUGACAAACUGCUAUUUUCCAUUCAGUUAAGCUAAAUGCGCUUUAAUGAUAGGACGGUAAUUAAUCUAACCUAUUAAUGAAAAGCUGUAUGCCUCGCAGAACUGUGAUAAACUACCUAAUGACGUCAGCUAAGGGUCCAGAAAUGGAAGAAUGAUUGCUAUAUCUUUUUUAAAAAAUAGAAUUUAGGCAUCUUGGGGAAAAAGAACCUAAUCUACACUGGAUUUCUGGUAGUGUGAAGACUUUUGUCCCUGUACCUGUUGGGGCUUACCUGUAAAUGAAGUAAGAUGGUCAACACCAGGAAAACAAGUAUUCCUGGUGCCUGGCAGUAGAACACCUUGACUAUGUUGGAAAGAAUUAACUGGCCCCGAGUGGACUUCACAUUUCAUUCCGUGAAGCGGGAGCCUGAGAGCAUAUUUUUUGUGUGAGGCUGAAACUGUUGGAGGCUUCCUGCUACCAUUCUUGAGAAUGGAGCGACCACACAGAGGUGAGCAGAACAAAGAGAAUCUCAGGGAAAUGGAGCCACAUCAACUGAGUUAGGUCACCCCUAACUUCAACCCACACUUAAGAGUGUUAGAGAAGAUUCUAUAAAGAAAGCAGACUUUUCUAGUACCUUUCAAUUCUUACCAUGCAGGUAGGUCUACUCUUCCAUAUUACUGUUACUGUGCAACUAGAAACCCACCUGACCUUGGAGGAGAAAGAACAGCAUCACUGAAAUGCUUACAUCAGGCAUUGGGGAUGGGAGUACAGCAAGUAAUUACAAAGGAUCAAUAAGAGAGAAUUGAUAUCAAUAUAACGGAUACAGCAUAUCAAUUUAAACAUGUAUUGACUCCAGCAACUACAUGUAUCAAGAUACGAAUUUCCGGUGCCCAAAGGCAUGUGGCCAAAUUCAGUUAAAAGGAGGUCUUACAGCAGUAGUAUACAACCAGGAAUCCACAAAUGUUCAGAAUCUUGCCUCAUCAGCACCCCUUUCCCGCCUCAGAAGAAAGAAUAAGCCUGAUUACAUUGAUGACUAAUGCAGUUACCUAGAGAGUUAUGAAUUCUCCAGAGACUGCCUCCAGCCUCUCAGCUCUUGUAAAGCCCUUCCAGGUGGGGCUGCCAUCCUCGUCAACCCUGCGAUACUUCUAGCACUCAGCCAACUCUCUUCUCACUGUCACAACUUCAGGAAACACUUUGAUCUUAAAUAUGCACAUGCUGAUAUAUAGUGAAUUCAAGCUUCAUCUUUAUUGCAGAAUGACGGUAGUAUCUCCUCCCAAAGGCAUUUAUAAAACAGGAGACACAUGAGUUAAUCUGGAACAAGUGGAAAGAAGUUCAGGGUUUCCUGACAUCCCUUCCCUGUUCUUCCUCCCAAGCAUAGUUCUGGUUGGUAACAUUUAUGUUGGAAAAAUGGAAUAAGUCACUAUGCUUCACUUAUUGAACUAAAACUUCAAAUUACAAUUUAUGCACUAGCCUAGAAGCUGGAUUCAUUUGCAACAUGAAUAAGGUUUUAAAAGUAACUGGGGCCGGGCGCAGUGGCUCAUGCCUAUAAUUCCAGGACUUCGGAAGGUCAA